CCACGCCUCCUCUUUUGCUCCGCACAUCACGGUGCCACCAUCCCUUCAGCCGCCAACCACCCCCUCCGCUCGCGCAUCCACCCCUCGCGCCCCUUCCCCCUACUGCCGCUCCCCGGCCGACGGCGGCACCUCCACCUGCGGCACCGCCGGAUCGACGGGAGUCCCCGAUCUUCCUCCGCCAAACGCCAACCUCGCCGCACAGCGCCCCCAUCCCGUCAACCCUCUGGCCACCUGCGCCUCUCCACCGGUGAUCUCCUCCCUUCUCACCCACAGACACCGCUGUUGAUGCCCCGCCUAUCGCCGACGCCCCACCCACCGCCGCCCCUCCCCGCUCGAGUCCAUCCCUCGGCCAGAUCAACGCCACCGCCGUCGCCGUCGCACGCAUUCCUCCCCGUCCACCCCCGCCGCCAACGCCCAACCCAGCACCGCCCCUCCCCUCCAUCCUGCCGCCUGUUCGCCGUCGCACGCUGCAUCACCAGGAUCUGCAUCGCCGUCGCACGCCUUCCUCCAUGACAAUCUGUGCUUGCGACAUUCAUCAACAACAUGUUGAUUUGUUUGUCUGUCUGCUCAAUGAUGUACAGUUGACACCAUUGUUUUCCUCGUUGCAGGAUAUAUUGACUUGUUGAAUUCCGCCAUCGUCACCACAUCAGCCCGGCUGCCAUCUGGGUUUCUUUUGACCCGAUGUGAUGAACACAUCUGAAGGAGAGCAGCAGAGUAUUCACGUACAUGUGGCAAAGCAGCAGGUGAGGAGAAUCGUUUUAUCACUUGAGUCAAAAAUCUGCUAUCCUUAAUCGCUCAACCUGAGGCAAAACAAUCAAUACAUUGCAGAAGUUUUGGUUCAUUUCAGCCUUGGAAAUAUUUAAAGUUUGGAUAUCACCAAAGAUCACAUACUGCCAUACUGGAGAUUGCUUGACAACGUUCGUUGCAGCAGUUUGAGAAGUGAUUUUCCACGCACGCAUAACGAGGAAGUGUUUCGGGUUCUGAUGUUGUGCAGUUAUGUACAAUAGUAACGAGAAGAUGUUGUGCAGUUAUGUCUUGGAAAGUAAACAACUUUCUCCUCAUUAUGAGAAAAUAAAUAUUGUUUACAGUGCUGGAUCACUGAACUUCAACAAACCAUUUUUAUGUGAUCAUUGAUUCAGAAAAACAAAUGAGUUUGAAUGAAUAUUUUUCACUUCAAUUGAUCACUACUUUCUCAAAAAAGAAGUGAGGUAAUGACUCCAGUUUUUAGUUCUGUGUUUAGAAUGUAUGUCACCUAGGAAUUAUUUGAGGGACAAUAUUUUGUCAAGCUUAAAGAUUGCAAGGGCUAUGGUGCUUUAAGGUGCUGAGAUAUUGCACACCCCAUGAUAAUUUGCCUCGACUUCCAUGAACACCGGGAGUGUGUCUGUGUCAUGCAAGGCCAUGUUGGCGCUAGCUUGGUACUGUUUUUUUUUCUGCAAACCAUUUGAGAAUAAAUUGUUUGAAAUGAUCUUAUUCCAAAGGAUCCAAGGUGGCAUUAGAGAAGCAUCCUUUUUAAUUUCCAUGCUGAGAAUUUUUCUUUUCAUCACAAUUGAUACAUAUUACCUUGCAAAAUAACAUUUUAUCUUGCACUUUAAGGUUGGUGAGAAUAUGGCAAAUCUUUUCACUUAUAGCUAUUUUCACUCAAUUGCCAGCUACCAGCUACCAGAGCAUCACCAACCUCCAAGUGAAGAAUAGACAAAUUACAUGGCAAUUGUUCCACUUUGUUAAAUAUUAGUGACACAUGUUGCAAGAUCUUAAGUUAUUUUAUUUAUUGAACCUCCUAGGUGUUACCACAAUAUAUAUUGAUGUAUUUUCAUUAAGAACAAUGUAAAGAUAUUGUUCAUCUAAUGUAAAGAUAUUGAUGUGGUUCUGCUCA